rnacentral:rRNA from 1 species
CUAAGUUUGAUGGCGACCGGCGCACGGGUGAGUAACACGUAUCCAACCUGCCGAUGACUCGGGGAUAGCCUUUCGAAAGAAAGAUUAAUACCCGGUGGCAUAGUUCUUCCGCAUGGUAGAACUAUUAAAGAAUUUCGGUCAUCGAUGGGGAUGCGUUCCAUUAGGUUGUUGGCGGGGUAACGGCCCACCAAGCCUUCGAUGGAUAGGGGUUCUGAGAGGAAGGUCCCCCACAUUGGAACUGAGACACGGUCCAAACUCCUACGGGAGGCAGCAUG